rnacentral:lncRNA from 1 species
GAGAGCAACAGAAGCUACACUCCUCGAAACGUACAAACACAUGCUAGAACUCACAAUGGCCAAAAUAAUCACUGACUACAAACCCUACUUUAUUGCCCCGCCAGCAGAAUUGCAAGCAAUCUGACCUGAUACAGGUUUAGUGCAUGCACACAAAGAUAUGUGCACAACAGAUGGCACACUCACUCUUACUAGCCUUCCCAUACUAUCUUACCACCAGUCUGUAAUAUAUACAUGUACACAAACACAAAAAUGAUAUGACAAAUUAAAGCUUACAAUAUUAGACAGUAAAUGUGCGAUACACUUUUAUAAAAAUAUAUUUUUGUCCCUCAUUCAGUAUUUUCAUUUAGCAUAUCUUUUUAUUGCUUCUCGUACACAGGUGCGCGCGCACACACACACACGUGCAUAAACCAAACAUAGACCAAAGUACUUCUAUUAGUUGAAACCAUACCAUACUGUCAGGCACAGUACUAAUAUUCUAUUGUAGCUGAUAUGAGUGUGCUUUUCGUGGAAAUAUUAUAUUAUGUUGAUAGGGAGAUGAAGCAUCUCUUGCCUAGGUUCAAGAAUGCUUGUGAGUACUGAUUAAACCUAGUGGAUAAAUUGGAGUGGGAUAAACAAAAUUAUAGCACAAAGAGAAAACACUGAAAAUGGGACGAGUUAGAAAAGUGCAAGAAUGAUUCAUGUGAUUUAAAAUGAGAGGAAAGAUGUCCAAGAAAGAUAUCUGUCGUUAAGAAAACAUGUAAAAAAGAAUGUAGGAACGAAAAUGUGAAUAUAUAUAUAUAGACAGAGAUUUUAAUACUGUUUUUGUUUAUCUCUGUAUAUUUUUAAUACUAGCUGACGUACCUGGUACUUCCUGGGAAAGCGGGACUUAUCCCUUGGUUUCGUUCUCAUAACUGUUUUGCUAAUCCAAUAACAACAAUACGAAGUAUGUAACUCUUAAAACGGUUUUUGUGCAUUUACAGAGAAUACCAAACUGUCUUACAUAUGAUCUUGUUUUUAGGAAUUCCCAGUAAGUUAAGAAUAUUCAAAUUGUAAAGAAGUCAGUUAUGUAAUAACAUGAAAUUAGUUACCCGAUACUAAGAAUUCAAAUAAAGUAGCCCCGAAAAGAGUUUUAUUGCGUUCCCAGAGAAUAUAGAACCUAGGAAGAAAUACUAAUAAGGUAUGUAUACUAAAAUCAUGAAGCAUGCUACGUAAUAACACGCUAAUCAGAUAUGAGAUAUUAUCUCAUUCAAAGUAAAUAACUCUGAAAAGAGCUUUUGUGCGUUCCCAGAGAAUAUUACCCUCAGUGGCACUAAUGUUGGUAUAUUCGUGAAUAAGUCACUAACCGAAAUAAUUGGAUCUAUUGUUUCGGAAGAUACUAUUUAUUGUUUAAGGGCUGUACUGGAUAAAUUGCGAAAUUAACUCUAACAGUUCAAAUACUAAGAAAAAAACAUACUCAAUUUGAUUUAUACCAAAUGAUUUAGGAAAAUGAAUGGGUUAUUUCCCUUGGCUGUUAAAAUGAAAAAUAUUAAAUAUAUAAGGGUCCCUUCCAGGGGCCCUAUUAUAGAUUUUUGCAACAAAUCUGAGUAUGCCAUGAGACUUCCAAACAUGAGUUCUACUCACGUGUCAAGGUUCGAUAAAACGAUGUAGGAGGAGUUAGCUAACAACUCCACAAACACACCCACAGGCAGAAUUCCCCACAUUUGUAGUAGAUAUUUGUGCACUUGGUAUACAGAUUGAUUUCGUUUUCAAUCAUAUGAUAUAGGGUUUGAAAUCCUGGAUAAGGACCCGGAAUUUCGUGGGAGGGUGUGAUUCGAAUAUAUCGAGCCUAGCUUUUAACUGAUGUAUAUUUCAUCAAACCUGGAAGGAUAAAACGCAAAGUCAGCCCUAGCAGAAUUUGAACUCAGAACGUAAAGACGGAUGAAAUACUACUAAGCGUUUUGCUCGGCGUGCUAGCGAUUCUGGAUGUGCUCAGAAUUGUGUGGCUUCAUUGUUUUUAUGUUUGUUUUUUUAUUUUUGAAUGUUAUUCAAGAUCUAUUUCCCCACUGCUUCUUUUGCACUUAUUUCUGAAUCUAAAUUAAUUAGUAAUUAAAUCGUAUCUGAUUAAUCUAAUUGUCGUAUCAUUACACACGUAUUUUCCCCCGUUCCAUUACACAUAAAUCUGCACUCCUUUGGUAUUAUACAUUUGUCCUAUUAUUCUGACUCUCUAGUAACCUCUGUACACAUCUCCACUUAAUUUUCUAUCUCUGUUUUCAUUCGGAGGCAAUAAUCUCACCUUUAUAUUCUCUCAUAACUGACUCACGAUUCUUAUCUAAUUCUAUUGUAUUGCCUACUAGUAUUUCUUAGUAGUAACAAAUAUAAUCUAGAGUUGUGUAUUCUCUCGUGAACUCUACAUAAUUAAGAUUAGUAACUUUUCAAAACUGUAACUUUAUCAAAAAUAGCUUAAUGCUGUUUUUCUUUUCUAACACUUAACUAUAUGUACUUUCUAAUCUAAAUGACUUUAUCAGUGACAACUCUACAUUUGAUCGCCAUUUCAUUUUUUCAACACGUUUUAUCUCUAACAGUUUCUUUAUCUUAAGCUAUUUUUUUAAACGUGUUCUAAUUUGCUUUACACGUAAAUAAUCGUCUGCAGUAGUUCAUACAAUCACACAUCUUAUAAGUUUACAUGUUACCUGCAGAUGUUGCUUCAUUUCUUAUCUCACUUAUGCAUGAAUAUUUUUUGCAUAAAAAUUAUAGAUUCCUUCUUUCCUCCAUUUCAUUUUGUUUUUCGCGUUUCUAAGCUGACUUUCUCUGCAUUAAAAAUGCGAAAAUAAAUUUACUUUGAUUUGUUAUUAUUUAUUCAUUGAAUUUUAUCUCACUGUCAUACGGAAUUAGUAUUUUAUAUAAUUAUGCAACGAUUUUGCUUACGCUUCUGUCGAUAGUUAACAUCAAAGAGCAAAAUAUUUAUACGCUAGCUUUUGUUUCAUAUGCACCGUUUCAUUUAUUUCACUCAUAUUGUCUAUCUAGAGAUAGGAUUUCUAAACUAGAAUACACGCACGCACACACACACAUAUAUGUAUGUGUGUGUGUGUAAUUUUAUAUAUACAUUAGUAUUUGAAUUUAAUAGAAAUAACCGUCCCGUCAUGUUUUAUUUCUUUUCAUAAGAUAUAGCGUCUUGAAUUUUGCAGUCAUUUCCUUAUUAUUUCUCUUCGCUUCAUAUAUGUUAUUCAUUUUUAUAAUUCCCUAUUUUAAUUCCUUCUGAGUAUCCUUCUGCCCGUUUUAAUUGAAUAGUUCAUAAAUAUUACAAAAAUGUUUAUAUAAAAUGUAGGUAUAAAUGGUAACAAGAAUUUCGCCACAAAGGCGGUGAGCUGGCAGAAACGUUAGCACGCCGGGCGAAAUGCGUAGCCGUAUUUCGUCUGCCGUUACGUUCUGAUUUCGAAUUCCUCCGAGGUCGACUUUGCCUUUCAUCCUUUCGGGGUCGAUUAAAUAAGUACCAGUUAUGCACAGGGGUUGAUGUAAUCGACUUAAUCCGUUUGUCUGUCCUUGUUUGUCCUCUCUGUGUUUAGCCCCUUGUGGGUAGUAAAGAAAUAGGUAUUUCGUCUGUCGUUACGUUCUUAGUUCAAAUUCCACCGAAGUCGACUUUGCCUUUCAUCCUUUCAGGGUCGAUAAAUUAAGUACCAGUUACGCACUGGGGUCGAUGUAAUCGACUUAAUCCGUUUGUCUGUCCUUGUUUGUCCCCUCUAUGUUUAGCCCCUUGUGGGCAAUAACGAAAUACGAAAUUUCGCCAUAAGUUAUGAGAAAAGUGCAUUGUGCUACACAAGAAAAUAUUAAAUACUAUAAUGUAAAUGGAGCUGGAUUUUAGAAAUACUUAAAAGCUGAAAUGUAAAACUUGAAAAUGAAUGUUAUUCUAAUCAAAAUGAAUAAAUGACUAAGUGUUUAUUAUUUAAUGUUUCAUAUCGAAAUUACGAGUUGCGAAUUUCGAUGACCUCAGAUUGGUAACAGAAAGACUUUUACAUUUACAAAAUAAAUUCUACAUCAUGUAUCGUGUAUUUUCGUUUUACUUUUACACACACGUAAAAGCAUAAACGCAUGACGAAGGAAGCACAUGUAUACAUGCAUGUAUGUCUGCAUGCAUACAUACAUUGCAUAAGCUACAUGAAAAAUAACGGAAGAAGCCAUUUAAUGCAUAUAAUUUUCAUAGAAAAUAAUAUAUUAUUUUACAUUCAACAUGUAGCGAUUUGUCGUACCCACAUGCUGUAGACGCUUAAAAUGAAUGAAGAUUCUUUUAUUCUUUUCUUUUACUUGUUUCAGUCAUUUGACUGCGGCCAUGCUGGAGCACCGCCUUUAAUCGAGCAACACGACCCCGGGACUUAUUCUUUUUGCAAGCCCAGUACUUAUUCUAUCGGGCUCUUUUGCCGAACCGCUAAGUGACCGGGACGUAUACACACCAGCAUCAGUUGUCAAGCAAUGCUAGGGGGACAAACACAGACACACAAACACACACAUGUAUAUAUAUAUAUAUAUAUAUAUAUAUAUACAACGGGCUUCUUUCAGUUUCCGUCUACCAAAUCCACUCACAAGGCUUUGGUCGGCCCGAGGCUAUAGCAGAAGACACUUGCCCAAGGUGCCACGCAGUGGGACUGAACCCGGAACCGUGUGGUUGGUAAACAAGCUACUUACCGCACAGCUACUCCUGGAUAAUAUUCAGCUUCAAUUAUCUAUUGCUGUUAUUCAAAUUGUUAAGAAGUUUCCUCAAUUUGAAAUAUCGACAUAUAUAAGGUGAAUUAGUCCAUUGUUUUAUAUAAAAUAAUAACACAUUGUACUUCUACGAUUUCUUCAGUUAUUCAUAUAUAAAUAAACAGACACGCAUAUAUACACGCAAAUAAACACAGACACACACACUCUUACACACUCACAGACACACACAGACUCAACCCAUAUAUGUACGUAUUUAUAUAUUUAUAUCUCUCUAGUUAUCUAUAUCUUUACAUAUGCACACACACAUACAUAUAUAUAUGUAUAUAUAUACACACACACACACCACACACCACACGCAUAUAUAUAUAUACAGAGAGAGAGAUAUGCAGAUAUGUAUGCAUGUAUAUAUGUAUGUAGACAUAUACGUGUGUUUAAACAAGACUUGUAUUUUCGCGUACGUACGUUUACAGACACAUUUUAGACAAACUUAGAUGCAUAUUCGUGUAUGCCUUGGCGUUUGGAAAAAGUGAUAUUUAGAGAAACAAAGGAAGAGCGAGAGGAAGAGAGAGAGAGAGAGAGAGAGAGAGAGAGAGAGAGAGAGAGAGAGAGAGGAAGUUAAAACUGAAAGUAAGAAAUAUAAAACAGAUGGGUGAAAUGAAGAUAAGACGUAAGUAUAAUGUACUUGAAUGACACAACUCAGGUGUAUGAAAUUAAAAUAAAAUAAGCUUUUCAAAUUACCUUUAAACAGUGAUGGCACCUACCAUUUCCCAUUUACAGUUCCUUUAAAAUAUGUGCCAGUUAUCAUCAUUACAUUUGGUUUUCCAAGAAAUGUGAACAAUCUUCAAUAUCGUAUGAUAUGAUUUAGAACUUAGUAGUGUUGUAAUUGGGCAAAAUAUUUUCAACGGCACAAAAACUUCUACACAUACAAAGACACAAGCACAUGUGUAAGCAGAGGUCUAUGUAUCUAUAUACACAGGCAAACACUCGCGCACACACACAUAUAUGUUUACCUGUGUGUAUGAAUGAUUAAAUGUGUGUGUAUAUAUAUAUAUAUAUAUAUAUAUAUACACAUUUAAUCAUUUCCUCUAUUUACAUAAUAUUGAGGUCUCUUUCUUUUGUUAUCUUACCGUUUUUACCAAUAUAUAUAUAUAUAUAUAUAUAUAUAUAUAUACAUACAUAGACACAUGCAUAUAUAUAUUAUUUAUGUGUGUGUGUGUGUGUGUGUGUAUGUAUGUGUAUGGAUCUGUACAGAUAUGUCCAUGUAUGUAUAUAUAUAUAUAUGUAUGCAUGUGUAUGUGUAUGUGGAUGUAUGUGUAUACGUCUAUGUGAAUUACUAUAUAUAUAUAUGUGUAUGUUUAUAUGUAGGUUUGUAUAUCUAUGUGUAUAUAUUGGUUGUAUGAUUUGAUUUUGAUUUUUCCAGUUUCAGCUAAUGAGCUGUGGCCAUGCUGGGGCACCGCCAUUUAUAUUUAUAUAUAUUUAUACUUCUAUAUAUUUUGUUGUUUGUACACAUCUAAGUAUCUAUAUAUAUAAACUAGCAGUAUCGCCCGGCGUUGCUCGGGUUUGUAAGGGAAAUAACUAUAGAAGCAUUUUUAGAGAGUUAUAGCCAAAAAAUAGCAAAAAAAUGCAUUAAAAAUGGAAAAAAAAUGAUGGUAAAUUUUUUAAAAAUCGUUUACUCAUCGUAGACAUUUUUAGAGAGUUACUUCUCUUAUAUAAUAGCGAAAAAAUGCAUUAAAAUGGAAAAAUUGAUGGUAAUUUUUUUUUAAAUCGUAGACGCGCGCUAAUACCCAGAAGGGCUCGAUAUGAAUCACGACUAUAAGAUAUCCGGUUUUGGUUAAACUGCACCGCAAAAUGUGGGAGUAGUUAGGAAUCUAAAUCGUAGGAGACAGACACACAACCUUACUUUUAUAUAUAAAGAUGUAAAAAUCUGUGUAUAAGUACGUUUCUCACCCCCUCUCUCACAUUUCUUUGCCUUUCUUACUUUGCUCUUCACUGUCCGUGUUUCUUUUUUCUCGCCAAUCCUUGAUUCUUCGUUCUUCUCGCUCUCUUUCUUCUCUCCCUCCUUAAUUCCUCGUUCCUCUUUUUCUCUCUCUUCCUUUCUCACGUGACCGCUGGCUGACGAGUAGCCCUUUUGCGUCGGACCACGGGUACGGUAAUAUCGUUGUUUUAGUCUGCCGUAAGGCUUAAUUCUCACUCAAUACGUCAGCUGAAUUCAAUUCGUCUCCAGUCGAAAGACGCCUGUUGUUAUAUCCUGUUAUUAUUAUUAUUAUUAUUAUUGUUUUUUUGUAUUUACAUUCGUAUUAUAUAUAUAUUUUUUUGUAUUUAUAUUCGUGUAACAUCGUCCGUUUUUCUGUCCAUGUUUCGUACACAUUCGAUCCUUUUUUCCGAAGAAUAUAAUGCUCUUAGCUUAGUUUUCUUUGGGGCUGGCCAGAUUGGAGCAAUCUCAAGAUUAAUCAGCCGAAAUUGCGAGGAUGAUCCGGUUCUUGACUGAAGAUAAAAGGGUUCGAAUGACCCGUCCGUGUUUUUUGAAUCGUCAAUUUGGAGGUUUUACGUUCUUGUCCCAAUUGUAUUUGAUAUAUAUAUAUAUAUAUAUAUAUAUAUAUAUAUAUAUAUAUACAUAUAUACACACACACACACACACAAAACACACAUAUAUAUAUAUGUAUGUAUUUGUAUGUUUGUGUCUAUGUAUAUAUAUAUAUAUAUAUGUGAAUAUGUGAAUAUAUGUCUAUAUAUAUAUAUGUGUGUGUGUGUGUGUGUAUGUAUAUCUUUAAGUUUUAUCAUCUUAAUCUAUAUAAUAUGGAAUUUGGAAACUUAAUUUGUAGUGAAUUAAUUCAAAUAUUUUGAAUGUUUCUAGUGCUAAUCCAUGUCGUUAAUGUAAAAUACAUCAUUAUAUUAGUAAUUUAAAUUUAAUUAUAUAUUACAAAUAAGACUUCUUCUUUAUACUAAAUAAUUAUGUUUAAAGAUAUUAUUUUAAUUUAGUAAUUAAUUAAUUGAUUGAUUAAUUUAUAAUAAUAAUAAUAAUAAUAAUAAUAAUAAUAAUAAUAAUAAUAAUAAUAAUAAUAAUAACAAUAAUAAUAAUAACAAUAAUAGUAAUAAGAUGAAGAAGAAGAAGGAGAAGAAGAAGAAGAAGAAGAAGGAGAAGAAGAAGAAGGAGAAGAAGAAGAAGAAGAAGAAGAAGGAGACGAAGAAGAAGAAGAAGAAGAAGAAAGAAAGAAGGAGAAGGAGAGAAGAAGAAGAAGAAGAAUAAGAUUAAGAAGAAGAAGAAGAAGAAGAAGAAGAAGAAGAAGAAGAAGAAGAAGAAGAAGAAGAAGAAGAAUGAUAAUAAUAAAUCAGAAGUUGUUUUUGACUUACUAACUUAUUUUAAUAGCCAAAAUGAUAAUUAUUAUAGUAUCGCAUAAUUUAAUUUAUAACUUGUAAACUUAUUACAACAAUAGAAUAUUGUUACUUCUGAAAUAAUUAAUAUACUAUUUAGAGUCAUUUAUCUGAAAAUUGAUAUUAAUUGAAUUUAUCGAGGAUCAGUACUUAAAACUUGUCCUUAUUUUAAAAUCUUCCUAUAGUUUAUUUACUGGGUUCUCCAUUCCAUAAUAUACGAAUACAGAGAUAUAUACUUGUUAAAUUAAUCCUUAUUUAAGUUACUUCAAAUCUGGUUACUUCUGAAAAACUAGUAAUAUUUUGAUAUCCAUUAUUACAGCUUAACUCUAUAUCUAUGGGGCAAUAUAGCUUGUAGUUAUUGUAGCUCUAAGUUUAUCUUCAUAUUUAUUACGAAAUUCUCCCUCCGAUUAAUUAAGUAAAGAACAUUUUUGUUAGGUUUCUCUCUAUAUUUAUUACGGAAUUGUCCCUCCAAUAGACUAAAUACACAAAGAACAUUGUUUGUUAGUUACUUUGAACAAAACGUUUUUAUACAAUCAGUCUUAAAUAAGAGAAUGGUUGUUAUAUAUCACCAAUAUAAUAGCAUAUUAUUAUUAACAUUUAUUAACACGUUCUAUUACAGUCUCUAGAUUCAGUAUACCCUGAUACUUAAUUUAUCUAUCUAUCUGUCUAUCAAUCUAUCAAUGUAUAUAUAUAUAUAUAUAUAUAUAUAUAUAUAUGGGUGUGUGUGAUUGUGUAUAGAAGAAUAUAUUAAUAAAAAGAAUUCCAACCUUGUCUGAUUUUCACGUUUUAUUUACAAUCUUAUAAUGAUAUAUUAUAAGAUAAUAUAUUAUAAUUGAAUAAAAUAAAAUGAAAUAGUAGAAUGUUAAAUAUUCAUUCUGAUUGAACUAGUACUUUCAUGCAUUGAAUUCUGCAAUCUUCGGGUUCAUGUAGUAGUGUUGACAGUCAUGCUUCACAAUUUUUGACUGUAGCAAGAUGAGUGAUUCUGUGCUAUAAAUACAGCUGGGUAGGCUCCAGAGUGCUAGGUUUUGCAAACUGUAUUCUGACCAAUCAGUGUGUAGUAUCACUCAAUUACUUAAGCUGAUUGGUUGGUUGAGCUGAUUGGUUUAGGCAUCACGCUUUGUUGGACAGGUCAAGAGUCCUGUAUCUUAACCCUGGCCGAAGCAGCAAUUGUUGGGUUAUUUUUAGAAAUGUUGUAAAUAUCCUUUGUCAGAGAUUUUUAUAUUUUUAUAUUUCAAUUGUCAUCAUCAUCAUUGUCAGCACCUUAAUUAUUGUUGCUAGUGGUGAUGGUGGUGGCAAUAGAACUUUUCACCCUAAAUAAGAUAAUUUUCCUGCUAUCUUCGUCUUGAUCACCUUUAGUAUUGUUGUUGUUGUUAGUGGUCAUGGUCGUAGCAGUGGAAGUAAUACCUCUAAGUAUUAUUAUUAUUGCUUAUUUAGCUUGGGUUCGAAUUUAUCAAUAAAAUUCUUUUCUCUGAUUUUCCUCUCGAUUUCACUUGGGCUGUGUAAUUUGUAGAAUGGAAAUAUUAUAUAUAUUUUCCGACCACAUGUUGCUAGGUGGUUACUCAAAGGUAUCUGACGGACCUCUGGGUCUCUAAUCUGUUGCCGGUGUACACGUGAGCGUUCUAAUAGUGCGUUUCCCGUCUGACCUACAUAUAUUUCUUCACAAUUUGGGCAUUUGAUGCAGUAAAUUAAAUUUCUGCUUUUGCAGUUCAUAUUCGCGUUUGUGAAUAUUUUCCCGGUUUUUGUGUUUAUAUAUUGACCGGUAUGUAUGAAUUGGCAUGUGCCACAUCGGCUAUCAUUGCAUUUAGAUACCGUGAAUGUUUGGUCUUUGUUGCUGAGGUCAAAUUUUGCCUUUGUUAGUAAUGUUUUCAAGUUUUUAGGCUGUCUUUUACUAAGCACCAUAGCUCGAUCCUUGAUUAUGUCUUUUAAUUCAUUACUUUGGGCAAUGAUUGGUAGGUUUGCUUUGGCAAUGUUGAAGAUAUUCUGGUGACAUGGGUUGUGUGUCACUAUGAAUGGUAUGACUUGUUCUUGUUUUCCUCUUCCUUGGGUUGUCCUAAGUUGUUGUAUAGGUAUUUUUAUAGCCCGCUGUAUGCCAUUUUCUAUAAGUAGAGAUGGGUAUUUUUGUUUGAGCAAAAAUUCUCUUAGUUCUAUUAGGCGUUUGUUCCUGAUAUUUGCAUCUUCUACAAUAGUACAAAUUCUUCUGGCUAGGCAGUAUGGGAUGUUACGUUUUGUAUGUGGUGGAUGGCACGACUUAAAAUUUAGGUAUUGAUGUGUGUCUGUGUGUUUAUAGUAUAUAUCUGUGGUGAUGGUGGUGUCUUUUUAAUUACCAUUAUAUCCAGGAAUGGUAAUUUGGUACUACUCAUCUCCUUUGUAAAUUUGAGAGAUGGGUGUAGGUUGUUCAGGAGGAUAUUGAACUCUUCCAGAGUAUUUAGAGAUUCUGUCCAGAUUAUGAAACAGUCGUCUAGGUAUCUCUUCCAUGCCUUUUCAAUAUACUUUCUAAAUCCAGUGCCAUAGUUUACCUCCACCUCUUGGUAGAGUUGUUCUUCUAAGUAUCCCAUUACAGAGUUGGCGUAAACGGGAGCAAACCUCGUUCCCAUCGCCGUGCCUCUAAUUUGGAUGUAAUUCUUUCCAUUGAAGAAGAAUGUGUUAUUUUCUAGAAUAAGUUUGACUGUGUCUAAUAUAAAUGGCACUGUGAAUCUGCUGGGAAUCACUUCUCUAUGUUUUUCUAACCAGUAUUUAAUCGCCUUUAUUCCUAAAUCGUGUGGAAUAUUGGUGUAGAGGCUUACCACAUCAAAACUUAGUAAAACUGAAUUUGUUUCUGUUGUUUUGGGAAGAUGGGACAGGAAGUCGAUGUCAUCCCUGAUGAAACUUGGUAUGUAAGUACAUAGUGGUUUCAAAACAAUGUCAAUAAAAUUGCUUAGACGGUGUGUAGGGCAUGCUGGACCAGCUAUAAUAGGUCUAAGUUUUAGGUCUUUUGGAUGUAAUAAUUUUAUGUACUCACUUUCUUGUUCUUUUACUGCCUGUUGAAUGUUUUUUGAUUUGUGUAUUUUUGGUAAGCCGUAGAAGUUGCUGGGUUUUGGUUCAAAAUAUAUAUAUAUAUAUAUAUAUACAUAUAUAUAUGUAUAUAUAUUAUAUUAUAUUAUAUAUAUAUUAUAUAUAUAUUACACACACACACACACACACACACACAUAUAUAUAUAUAUAGAUGGAGAGAGAGAGAGAGAGAAAGAGAGAUACAUAGAUAGAUAGCUGCAAGUUAUAGAAAAGAAAAAGACGAAGUCAGGUGUAAGAGCAACAAGCAGAUGUAUUAGCUUGACGCUCGGGAAAGUGAAAAAGUCUUUUACAUUUCAAGCCUACGCUCUUCAACAGAAAGGAAUAAGAGAAAAUAAACAGAGAGAGCAUUUUUUAAAAAUGUUGAUUUACCGGUCAAUCAUGGUGACUAAUGAGAAAAAAGUUUGAAAGAAGAGGUUGAAAGAAGGGGAGAUAAUAAAGUAUGGUGAUCUCCAAAUGAAGGUGUGCGUACGUAUGUGUGUGUGGUGUGGAUAGGGGCUAGGGACUUUGAUAUGUGUGGGUGUGUGCGUGUGCAGGUGUGCGCAUCUAUAACGUAUGGUUGCUCAUAUAGUCGUAUGUGUGGUGAUGCUUUUGAAGAUUGUGUGUGGGUGUGUUAAUGAUGGUGUGUGGUGUGGGUGCUGGAAAGUGGUCAGUGCUAGUGUGUAUGCGUGUGUGUGUGUGCGGCUGUAACGUCUGGCCGCUCAUAUCAAUAUAUAUAUAUACACACAUACAUAUAUACAUGGAUGUAUUUAUGCAUGUGUAUAUUAAUGAACACAUACAAGCGUUUGAGUAAGGUUGUAUUUCCGUGCGUGUAGACAUAAAUAGAUGCGCCCACGUUUAUUCCUUGACGUUCGGAGAAAGCAAGAAAUACAGGAACAAAGGAAAAAGAGGGAGAAAGACUGGGAGAAACAGAGAGAGAGAGAGAGAGAGAGAGAGAGCGAAAGAGUGAGUUAAAGAGAGAGAAACGAGGGAGACAGGAGAGUGAAAAUAAAGAUAAGACGUAAGCAAAAUGUACUUAAAUGACAGCUAAUAUGUAUGAAAUUAAAAUAAAAUAAGCUUCUUAAAUUACCUUUAAAACAACGAUGCCAUCUACCAUUUCCCAUUUACCGUUUCUUUAAAAUAUGUGCCAGUUAUCAUUGUUAUAUUUGUUUUUCAAAGAGAUGCGAACAAUCUUUAAUAUCGUAUAAUAUGAUUUAAAACUAGCUAGUAUUGAAAUUCGUGUAAAAUAUCUGACGUAAUAUAUUAUAUACUUCAACAAUACACACCUAUGUACACAUACAAACACACAUAUACGUGCAUAAGUAGACAUGUAUAUAAUAUAUAUGUGUCUCUGGAUGUUGAAAAAUCUGCAUACACACGCGCACACGCACACGCAUUAAUAUAUAUAUAUAUACACCUUAUAUAUAUUACAUAUACAUACAUUAUAUAAAGGUAAAUAACAUUGCAUGACUAUGUAGAUAUUAGUAUCGGGGCAAAUUCUUAAGGUACCGAGGUGGCAGAAUGAUUAGCAGGUAGGAAAAUAUAUCUAGUGUUAUGUAUUCAGGUUGUUUACUUUCCUAGUUGCGGUUUGUGAAACAUCAAAAAAUAUUAAAGUAUAAAUCUAGAUUCAUACGUGGUAGUACACGGCAUACUAUACAAGCUCGCCUUUUACUGAAGUAUCGCAGCAUGGAACAUUUUGUGGUUCACAUUUAAGUCAUGUAUCCAUCUAUCUAUCUAUCUAUCUAUCUAUCUAUCUAUCUAUCUAUCUAUCUAUCUAUCUAUCUAUCUAUCUAUCUAUCUAUCUAUCUGUCUGUCUGUCUGUCUGUAUGUAUGUCUGUCUGUCUGUCUGUCUGUCUGUCUAUAUCUCAGUAUAUGUGUGUGCUUGUGUGUGUGUUUGUGUGUAUGUGUGUAUGUGUGUUUGCGUAUGGUAUGAGAACCUUUGGUAUCCAGAAGACGCAAAAUGGCAAGUAAGGCUAUUUAAGUGCUACGGAAGGACAACAGUUAGACUCCCGGUUCGAUAAUAGUACGAGUGCUGGUCGUGUGUGAGAAUGUAUAUGUUAAAUGAAAUGAGACAAGAAAGACACGUCAGUGUGAAAUUUCUUGGACAUUUAUAAAGCGAAAUGUAGUCUUACAGCUGUUUCAGGGAUAUGAAGGAUAUCCCUCUGAUGAAGGGAUAUCUUUUUCUACAUCAGAAUAUUAAACACAACUCUUCAAUUCCACUAAAUGAGUAUAAUGAGGCCUUACAUACAUGCAAGCUCCUCUCUUUUCAUACCUUCAAAUUUUACCACAGAUCUAUAUUCAACCUAAAUCACCACUCAGUACAUAUACGGACCAUCCUUUAUGUAAUAUCCAGCAACCUGAUCUGACUUGCCAAUGCUUUAAUAGUUUAACUUUUCAAUUUUAAUUUUUAAUUGUUUAAUAAUAUAUAUGCAAAUAUAUAUGUAUGUAUGUAUGUAUGUAUGUAUGUAUGUUUGUAUGUAUGUAUGUACGUAUGUAUGUAUGUAGGUAGGUAGGUAUGUAUGUAUGUAUACAUGUAGGUAUGCGUAUGUGUAUAGGCACAUAAGUAUGUGGGCCUAUAAAGUAGUGCCUAUACACAUUUAUAUGUAUAUGUGUGCGCGUGUCCGUAUAUCUAUAUACAUAUUUUUAUUUCUUUCACUGAUUCAUCAGUCCCCACUAUCACUUUAGCUAGUAGAAUAAUUGCCUACGUCUAUUUUUAGAAACGUGACCUUUAUAUCUUAUUGUUCUUCCCUUCCUUUUUGAGGUGUACUACUCCCUUUUAGUACACCACUCCCGUACCAUUUUCUUUCACUAUCUCUCCACAUUAGUGCGUUUCGAAUAUAUCACCCCAUCUUCCACUUCUUACACAUAUUCCAUCAUUAAACAACCAGCAACGAUGUUGUUUCUCCCUCCACUUUGAAGAGAGGUUAUAGACGACCGCUGAUUUGAGUCUGAAGAAACGCUAUAGAGUUAAGUGCUUUAUGGACGUGAAAUCCUUAGUAACCCCAUAGACCGCCGAUAUCUAUAUCAAAUUACUGAUCUAUAACACACAGACGAAGGAGAGGUAUUAAACGUAAGUGAUUGUUACCCUUAGACCGGUAUCCGUAAUCGAACCUGUUGGCUUGUGAGUCCAAGUACUUCAGUAGGAAUCUCUUGUAAGCAGGAUCUGAAGACUUCUGUCCUGGAAUUCACCAACUAGUAACGAGGUCGUUUCUUCCCCUACUUUAAAGAGAAGUUGCAGGCCACAGAAGAAGCGCUGUAAAGCUAAGCGCUUUGUGGUAGUGAAAACCAGAAUAACCCAAUAGACCAGUCAUAACUAUCUUUAUCUAAUAUGUGUGUAUGUUAAAUAAAAUGAGAUGAGAAAGCCAAGGCAGCGUGAAAUUUCUAGGACAUUUAUAAGGGGAAAGGUAAUCUUACAGCUGUUUCAGGGACAUGAGGGACAUCGCUUCAUCAGAGAUGAUAUGAGAGAGUUAAAUAUAGGGAAAUACUUAGAGUUCAACAUAAGAAGUUAUUUUGGAGUCGGAGAGAUAUAGGAAGUAUAUUGUCCAUGGUAUGGAAAUUCCAACAGUAGUUCAUAUUUUGUUAUUACAAAUGGAUAGUGUGCAGACAUUAAUUCCAUAUGCUGCUCAUUCAAAGGGGUCUUCUAGUUUGAAUGAACUUUUGAGAGUGUGCUUCGCUUUCUUGGUCGGAUCUACGGUCAAAUUGGAUCUGAUAUUUACGUAGCUAUAGUAUCCUACAAACACAUGAUAGCUUCAUGAUUGUCUUACCUCACUGGGAACCUAUAUUGUAGUACCUGAUAAUUUCGGAUGUUCUAUUGAUGUGGCUAGAUUCAAUUGAAAACUAUAACUAAUCUCUGUUUAUCUGUGUCUCUCUCUUUGUGUGUAUGUGUGUGUAUAAGUGAGUGCGUGCCUGUUCGCGAGCGAUGAUGUGGAUCUUGUGAGUAUUAAUAGAUAUAUGAAUAUCUCCGCCGAUAACUGGAUUAAAUCUAUAUAUUUAUUGUAUAUAUCCUCCUUAACUUUACUGACACGCAAAGGAGAACUUGUUAUAAGCAGAAAAUUAGAAAGUAAAAACCGUAUUAUAGAAAUAUAGGUUUUAGAUUUAGUUCAAUAAUUUUGAGCGGGUGAUGAUUAAACGAUUACAUGAACCCCAUAUGACUGGAGUCAACUCGGUAGUUGACAGAAGGCAAAGCCGACUACUGCGGCAUUUGAACUAAGGUCGUAAAGUCGGAAAAAAUGCCAAAGCGCAUUAUGUCUGGUGCGGUAAAGAAGCUACCUCCUUUAGAUAUUACAAUGUUUGUUAUUCGAUGUUCUAAUUAUUCUGCCAGUCGCUGCAUUAAUUAGUUAUUUAAAUAUUAAUUUCUGUAUGUUAAUACAAAAGUACAUUUCUUCUUACUUAUCUUUUGUGCAUAAAUUUCAUUCGAAAGAAAAUGUUUUUGCUUAUAGAAAUAUUUAUAAGUCUAUGAAAAGAAUUGUGUUAAUUAAUUCAAAUGAAAUAUUUUGGUCACAAAAUAUAAUUUAGCUCACAAACAAAUGCUAUAAGCUAUCGUAGAUAUGAUUAAUAAAUGAAAUGAAGUAUGAAUAAAUAAUAUUUUAAAUUAUUUCUGGGAAUAUUGAAUAUUUUCAUUAGUUAUAUUCCUCUGUGAAUUUUAAUUUAAAGGAUAGUUAUUCACGAAGGAAAUAUAGAUUGCUUAAUCUAUAAAGAAUUAUAUUUUUGGAAGGAACGGCCUUUAGUGCAUAAAUUGUUUUGAUAAAGUUAUAUUCGCUAGCUAUAUUACUUACUCAAGCCAUAGAAUUUUUAUCGGUGUUGCCAGUAAUCAUAAUUUCUUCAAGUUUUACCCGUGGGAAUUUCCCAUUAGAUAAAUAUCUUUUAAUUUUAUUUUGAUGUAUAAAUUUGCCGAUCUCCACAAUAAUAUUUCAUUAUAUUCAAUAUUUCGAUUAUGCCUCCGAUUUUGUUUGGUAAUUAAGUAGUUUGGGGCGUUUUACUGAAUAUUCUUCAUUACGUUAAAUAGUUCGAUUAUAUAUCAUCGCUUCGAUUUCAUUUUCAGAUAAUUAUCUUAAAAGUGUAAUACUCGAACACACAUCGUGACAGAAUUAUAGACUUUUGGGUCAAGGUCACACGGAAACAUAGUCGAUUUGCAUCGAAGUCAGUAUUUUGCAAAGCUUAUAUUUCAGAACCCUGAAUGACUAAAGAUGAUUUCGCGAGGAUUCCAAUAUAAAAAUGUAUUGAGACAUAGCUAUAUCAUAUAAGACGUUAUGUGAUGUAAGUCCAUUUCUAUUACCCAAACACAUUCUCAUGCGUUAAAAUAACACCAUUUUUAAAACGACAAUGUGCCUUCCACUGACAAUGUGAAUAUACCAUAUUUCAUUCAUGGCUAAACAAGAAUAGAUUAAGUAUGCUGUAUUCUUACGUUACUUAACGUUACUGACUUUCUGAGUCGUUUUUCUACGGAAUCUAUUAAAUAAGACCGGUGUCAUGCAUAAUCAAAAUAGUCGCUUCAUCAAACAAUGCAGCCUUCUAUAAGAAGGAUUACAACAGAAAUUUUAACCAUAACAAAUGUGUGAGAAUGUCCUAACUAUAUCCACACAUCCCAGUAUUUUUAUUUUCUCUCCCAUGCUUCUACCUCCAUUCUUUGUAGUACUCUACUAAUGUUCCUACUGAAAUGGUAGUAUGACAUCCUAGUUGUGAUAGUUAGAAAUGAAACCGUAGAUAGACUCUUUAACUCCCGUAAAAUUAUUAUUUCAACAGCUAUGUUGGUGUAAUUCCUUAAUUUUUCAGCUCCCUUACUCAAAACAUUUAAAGUUAUUUGAAAAUCUACUGAUAAUCUGUACGGUUUUAAGACAAAUAUCGCGGUAUGUGAGUGCCUAUCUGUAGGGUAAUUAGAAACUUUCCAUUGCUAUUUCGUAAGAGAAGUGUGGGGUUCAGACGAAUACACCUGAUAUUUUCGACAGAGCAACUGAAAUUUAGUGUUACGUACAAUACCACCUACGGCAAUUUUUGUGGUACAAGCUGUUAGUGUAGUGUAGUUUUUAGUCGAUUUCUCGGAAUGUCACUAAAGAUGCAGUGGUGACAGAAAAACUGGGUUGUCCAUUCUUUCUUUCUAUCUACUUGAAGUAAUUUAAAAUUAUUUACCUAAUUAUGAAAGAAGUGUUAAUCAUAUGUAAGCACCAUCGAUUUAUAAACAACUGGAGGGCAGUUCUCCUCGGUUAAAAUAAAAUCAGUUAUUAACAAAUGUAUACAGACAUUAAUAUGUGUAAUGACUAGGAAACCUAUUCAGCUUGACAGCCGUUAACCAUGGAGUAAACAAGGACGGCUAAAUGAGCCAACAAGAAUGCCACUUCGUGAUUUCGAUAUGCAAGAUAUAUAAGCUACAAAUCACAGCUAUAUUUAAAGAAAGACUCUGGGUAAUUUAAUUUUGGGUGCAAAAUACCUGAAGGGAUCGCCACAGUUAGCU